GGGAGGUGGUGUGCUCAGGGGUAGGUGGAGAGAGGCUUCAAGCCCAGGGCAGGGAUAUAAAGAAACACGGAUCCAGAAAGCAGAGGGACAACAGGAGUGGGGAAAAGAGCGACAGGACCAGUUGGAGAAAAGUAAGGGGAAAGUAGAGACAGGGUUAAGGGGAGAGAGGAAGAUGAGAGUGAGAAAAGUGAGGACGGCGGGGAGCGAUUGAAAAGGCAUGAGCUCUCCAGAGAGAAGGGCGGACUGCUGGACCUGGAGAUAGGGCGAGGGGCGAGGGGAGUGAGCGGCAGUGGGGCGCCCAGAGUGAGGAGAGGGG
rnacentral:lncRNA from 1 species